rnacentral:tRNA from 1 species
GGAGAGGUGGCAGAGUGGUCGAAUGCACCGCCUUGCUAAGGCGGCGUGCGGGUAACCGUACCGUGGGUUCGAAUCCCACCCUCUCCGCCA